rnacentral:lncRNA from 1 species
CUCCAAAUGGUAAGCAACCUCCGAAACCUCCAAACGGUCAGCAACCUCCAAAACCUCCAAACGGUAAGCAACCUUUGAAACCUCCACACGGUGAGCAUCCUCUGAAACCUCCACAUGGCGAACAUCCUCCGCAACCACCAAACAGUAAGCAACCUCUGAAACCUCCAAACGGUGAGCAUCCUCCGAAACCUCCAAAUGGUGAGCAUCCUCCGCAACCACCAAUCAAUAAGCAACCUCCGAAACCUCCAAGCGGCAACCAACCUCCGAAACCUCCAAAUGGUAAGCAACCUCCAAAGCCUCCAAAUAUUAAAGUUUGCUAUGCCAAGAAAAGCCCGUGCUUUGGGAAGCAGGUACAAUGCCCACAGGAAUGUCCAUCCGGUUCACCGACAGACAAAAUGGCUAAAAUGUGCUAUCUCAACUGUGAAUCUCCUAUAUGCAAAGCUGAGUGCAAAAGUAAGGCUACUAGACUUAUCUUUUUACAAUGUUUUCACUCUUUGUUUUCUUUUUAUUUCAAACGUACCUAGGUAACUUAAAAUCCUUGCUGACAAUGUUCUUUUAUUGUUGAUGGUAAUCGUAGGUCCCAAGCCUAAUUGUAAUGGCCCUGGAUCAGCAUGUCAGGACCCUCGCUUCAUUGGUGGAGACGGCAUUGUCUUUUACUUCCACGGCAAGAAAAAUGAGUACUUCAGCUUAGUUUCUGAUCCCAACCUCCAAAUCAAUGCCCGGUUCAUUGGCAUCCGCCUUGAAGGCCGAGCCAAGGACAACACUUGGAUUCAGGCCCUUGGACUCCUCUUUGACUCCAAAAGCUUCUCCCUAGAGGCCAGCAAAGCAUCAACAUGGGUUGAUGAAAUCAACCACUUGAAAUUCACAUACAACGGAGAGGAGCUAAUCAUCGCUGAAUCUCAUCUCUCCACAUGGGAAUCUCCGGACAAUGCCAUUAUAGUGGAGAGAACAUCAAGCAAGAACAGUGUCUUGGUAAUUCUACUGGGAGUUGCUGAAAUUUCAGUAAAUGUGGUGCCUGUGACAAAGGAAGAUGAUAGGAUCCACAAUUAUCAGUUACCGUCAGAUGACUGUUUUGCUCACCUGGAAGUACAGUUCAGAUUCUACGACUUAUCCUCAAACGUUGAAGGAGUGCUCGGAAGGACUUACCAGCCAGAUUUCAAGAACCCGGCAAAGCCAGGAAUAGCUAUGCCAGUGUUGGGAGGUGAACACAAGUACAGAACAACAUCACUCUUCUCUGCAGAUUGCACUGCCUGUGUGUUCACUCAACCCAGUGAGCUGG